rnacentral:lncRNA from 1 species
AUUUCGCGGCGGGUUGCAGGGUGGAGGUGAAGGGAGGUUUGGUGGAUGUGAUUGAGAGGUUGAAGAAGUUGAUGAAGUGAAGUCAGCGUCAGUUCUGGGUUGCAAUGGAGAUGGAAAAAGAAAAAAAAAUGGGUGAAGAAACCAGUUCAGUUCUAUAGAGGUUGUUGAAGUUGUGGAGGUUAUGGGAAAUUGUGGAUUCAGUUAGGAAUUAGUUAGAUUCAAUGACAGUUGGCGACAGUUGGAAUUGAUUAGGCGAUUAGGACGGUUGAAGACAGUUGGAAUUCGGUUCGAGUUGGUUUCGACAGUUGCUGUUAAUCGUGGGCAGUUAUGGCACUUGGCAGGUUAGUUACCGAGUCGGUUCUCAUAUGAAGUUAGUCAUGGUUUCAGUGAGUGUUUCCAGUUCUCUAUUAUGUUAUGCUUAUGUUUUGCCUCCUUCUUUCCACUGUUAUGCUGUGGAUUCAAAUGGCUUAAUGUUGGAAAAGGUUGAUGUAUAUUUGUGUUUUUGCAGGCUAACGGUUUACGGUCUUUGUUACGGAGCUAUGGUCGGCAUGUUGUAAGGCUUGCAUUGGAUUAUAUUAUGUUGGAGGUGAUGAAAGCAUAAGUUUGAACUGAGUUAUGGUGAGGGAAGUUAGAAGCAGUUUUGAAAUUGUUAUUAUUUUUUUUUCAUGAAAUUUGCAGGUCAAAUGGGUUUGUUUGAAGUGUACGAUCCUUCCAACUGCAUGAAUGAGUCCACAAUGGGAGGUGCGACAAUGACAGUUGGUUCACCCAAGUUAAGCAAAUCUUGAGGAGAUUAUUCAUUGGGUACACUUGCCACACUAGCUCUCAAAACCUUGCUGCCGGCCGAUGUUCCUUUUUUAUGCUGUUAUUUGGAAUGCAUGGCCUGCAUGGAACGCAUGUUUUUAUGUAUGGAAAUAAUUGGAUUUGAAAUGUAUGAAUUGGUAUGGAUUAGUGUGUUUUUUGGGCUUUUGUUGUAAUUUUUAUGCAUUGAAUGUGUAAUAUAGGUAACUGAAUUAGUAAUGUGAGGCAUCAGUGUAAUGUUUAAAUUGGAAUUGAAUACAUGUGAUUUUGGAAAUUGGCUUAUGUAAUGAAAGUGUAGUUUUGCAACUAAUGGUUGAAAUAUUUGUAGUGCAUUUGAAUUGUCAAUUAGAAAUAAUGGUUUAUGAUGGUAAAAUGUCUUUGGAUUGAAUC